rnacentral:rRNA from 1 species
UGGCAACGGGUGAGUAACACGUGGGUGAUCUGCCCUGCACUCUGGGAUAAGCCUGGGAAACUGGGUCUAAUACCGGAUAGGACCAUGCUUUAGUGUGUGUGGUGGAAAGUUUUUCGGUGUAGGAUGAGCCCGCGGCCUAUCAGCUUGUUGGUGGGGUAAUGGCCUACCAAGGCGGCGACGGGUAGCCGGACUGAGAGGUUGGUCGGCCACAUUGGGACUGAGAUACGGCCCAG